GGGCUCCAUCCUCGACCCCGACUGCUAGAGCCAGACUUCGCCCCUGACUUUGAUUGCAGGUGGACUUCGCCCGGGCUCCUACGGGAGCCAGGUCUCGUCUCCAGCUCCAGCUGUGGAAAAACUCCGCCCAGACUCCUAAGAGAGCCGGACCUCAUUCCCGACUCCGGCUGCAGGCGGACGUCGCUCGGACUCCUACGGGAGCUGGGCCCUGCCCGCG
rnacentral:lncRNA from 1 species